CGCUCUGGAGAGUAUUAAAGUCUCAUUUUCGCCAUGCUUCUGUUCCCUAGUCCGUCAUUUGAAAUUUGGACAGCCUCAGUUUAAGGC